GAUGAAGAACGUAGCGAAAUGCGAUAAGUAGUGUGAAUUGCAGAAUUCAGUGAAUCAUCGAAUCUUUGAACGCACAUUGCGCCCCUUGGUAUUCCAUGGGGCAUGCCUGUUCGAGCGUCAUUUGUACCUUCAAGCUUUGCUUGGUGUUGGGUGUUUGUCUCGCCUCUGCGUGUAGACUCGCCUUAAAACAAUUGGCAGCCGGCGUAUUGAUUUCGGAGCGCAGUACAUCUCGCGCUUUGCACUCAUAACGACGAUGUCCAAAAGUACAUUUUUACACUCUUGACCUCGGAUCAGGUAGGGAUACCCGCUGAACUUAAGCAUAUCAAUAAGCGGAGGA
rnacentral:misc_RNA from 1 species